rnacentral:misc_RNA from 1 species
GUCAUCAAUCGGUGCAGUUUGCUUCGGCUUAGAGGCAAAGGACCCAAAAAUAUCAUCGUUAUAAAUGGAAUUCGAGCUGUUGAACCCACCCAAUAUAUCGCCAUCAGAUGACAAUUUAGCACUCGAGUAAUUAGAAUUAGAGAAUAUGGAAUCGUAAUCAAAAGAAGACCCAGGGCCAUUCUUAGUCGUUUGCCUUGAGUUAUUUUGGAAGACACCAAAAAUGUCAAAACCAUCAUCUAAACCACCAAACUUCAGGGAUUUUUGACUGCUAUAAAGAGUUUCAUGAUCAUAAAAAAAAUACCCAUUAACUGAAUUGGAAUUUUGGGAAGAUCUCGAAGAAUAUGAAGACGAGUUUUGGUCUAAGGUUGAAUUUGAAGCGAAAUUUCGGGCUCGGGCACUGGUGGUGUUAUUGGGUGGUUUCCAAGCGGCCAUCCGAGCCAAUUUGCCUUGCUGUUUUAAUCCAAAACUCUCUGUUAAGACACCAACCUCGUCCAUAUUAAGAAACAACACAAACGAAGCUAUAUAUUUGAGCUAUAAACAAAAGACUUUGAAACGAUUUAACUGUUCAGAACAUAAAUUUCAGAAAAAAGGCGCUUGUGUUUGAUCUAGUAACAGAAACAGAAUAUAAAAAUGCACAGAAGCUAAUGAAACUUAAAUGAAUUGAAGCAAAGAAAAGGACAUUUGAAAACAGAGAGUUGCUUUUUCUUUUGUUCUUGUUAAUUGUUUUGUUUGUUUGAAAUGAAUGAAAAUGAGAAGGAAAAUAAAAGGCGGGAGUUGAAUGAUAAAGAAAAAUGGAGGAGAAAAAAAUUUUCCGGGAUCUUGUAAGAGGAAAUUUCGAUUUCAGGGUUCUCUCUCCCUCGCACCCUGUUCUGUGUGGUCG